GAGGAUGGUGUGGUGGACAAGAGGAUGCAGGGAGACGGCAGACAGAAUGGAAGCUACAGAUGAAAGAAGAGCAGGUCAAGCCAUGGCAGCAGACAGACAGACAGAGACAGAUUGGAUCAGAAAGUAUUAUUAUUUAGUGAGCACCAGAAGCAGUCUUCCUCACACGAACCGUUUCAUUGCCGGGACUUGAAGGCUGCUGAAGCAAUGCGGCGGAGGUCACGCCCCUUAAAGUAUUUAUACUUACUGUCAACACCAUAACUAAAGCAAACACUUUAGUGCAGGUAGUUAAAUAAGUGCAAUCAUUGUUCCAGAUUCCUAAAUUCACAAAGUACAUAAACUCAUUGAAAGUUUUUAGUGCAGGUAAUUAAAGUUUUAGUGAAAUAAUUGUUCCUAUUCCUAAUGUUGUGUGGUGCAUUACCUCAGACAGGCCCACUGGAAGCUGUCAGUCUGCUGCGGCACGUGGCAAGAACCAAGUGUUGAGGAGCACACGUUGUCCCUUCACCAGUCAGCAGACUGCUCGCCUUCACAGGUCUGGGCGGCUCGGAAGUCUCACUACAAACUGGAGAUCCAUUCUCUUGGACACAGUUGGAGUCGGACACAAGAUUCAAGAGGGAGUCAUUUUAACGAGAGCUUCAGGCAGAAAAUUCGAGUGGAUUUUCAUUUCUAAAAAUAUCUUAUUUUUUGGGGGGGAUAUUUUGAAUCCUUCUUUGUGGAAAAAUAACUCCAGAUAUUAUGAUUCUAGCUGGAAGUUGACCUGAGCAAUGUAGGGUUUGCUGCUGUGAGAUUAUCACCAAGGCACAAGUGUCCGGGAUUUAAAGAUGAUGGAAAUGUGUCCUGUGUGCUGCUGUGCUGGGAAGAGGAGAGGAGCAGCAGCAGUGGUGGGGCUCUGCUGCUGCUGUCACUAGUGCAGCUGCCUUCCCUCAACAUACUGUGUCUUCUCUCACCUGCAAUGAACAACUAUGAACAAUACUUUUGCGAUGAAGAACAGUGAAUAACACCUCUCCCCAUAUGGUUGCAAGUCUCUCUCUCUCUCUCUCUCUCUCUCUCUCUCUCUCUCUCUCUCUCUCUCUCUCUCUCUCUCUCCACAGUCCUACAGUAUGUCCCCCACAGUAUGUUUACAAACCCACAGUGACUCCCCACAGUCCCUCACCAACACCCUCACCAACAAUUGUCUCCACACACACACACACACACACACACACACACACACACACACACACCAUUACAUACACAAAUGUUGCAAUCUUGUACACACACACACACACACACACACACACACACACACACACACACACCAUUACAUACACAAAUGUUGCAAUCUUGUACACACACACACACACACACACACACCAUUACAUACACAAAUGUUGCAAUCUUGUACACACACACACACGUACACACACACACACACACACACACACACACACACACACACACACACACACACACACACACACACACACAC